GCAACAUUCAUUUGAACUUUUACAUGAAAAACAGUCUUUGCUCUUCAUCUAGCCUACUGUACUGAAUGUAUUCCCUCUUAUUGCAUAGCACAGCCUCCCGUUACCAAGGUAACUGAUAUAAAUUCAGUUCACCAUUGAUUCAAAGGUAUAUUUAUGUAUCUCCCCUCAAGUGUGUAUAGUUUCAGAAGCCAACAACAUUACUAAGCAAAAGGAAAAACCCAGCAAAAAUCAAUCAGAUCGUGAUGAAAAUCUGUCAAGUAAAAGCCUUUUUUUCCUUUCCUUUCCUGGCUAAGCCAAUGUCAUACAGUCUGUGUGCUUCAAGGUAUGGUUAUGUACCCAGAAUGUAGAAAGGAUGUCCCUGAGAUUUCAUCCUUCUCCACGUGUACAACAUCCCUCACAGAAUAGAAUUCUUCUGUUAUUCUAUUCUAUUAACAGUAUAUGGCACAAGGAAGCAGUGGUAAUGGUACAGGACUGCUAUUUCACAAGUCUCUUCCUCUUUUUUUCCUAUGACAUACAAUAAACGGACAUGUCGUAAGGUCCUAACAUUUUUUUUGUCUUAUGUUAGUACUAGCAGUAGGCUAGUAGCCUAGUCAAGGAUGCAUCAACGCAAUAUUGGCACACAACAUUUUGUUAGAGAUCAACAGAACGAAAGUAAACCUUGAAUUUGUAGGUUUAAAUUGUCCCUCUGGUGGCCAGGGUUGACUUAUUUUAAGAAAUGCCAUUGGUUCAUGGAUUUAAAGUCUAAAAUCUUUGAUAGGUUGUUGAGGAAUCUGUUGCAGGAAAUAAUCACUGUGAGCUGGUGAGGUUAGCAUAGGGCUAACGUGUGCCAGGUUAUCUGAUGGGACCAGCUACAAUGUAACGUUCUAUAACAUUUAAAGUCUUGUCCCAUCACUGCAACUCCCGUACGGACUCAGGAGAGGUGAAGGUCGAGAACCAUGCAUCCUCUGAAACACGUCUCUGCUAAGCCGCACUGCUUCUUGACACACUGCUCGCUUAACCCAGAAGCCAGCCUCACCAAUGUGUUGGAGGAAACACCAUACAACUGGCGACUGAAGUAAGUGUGCAUACACCCGGCCAACCACAAGGAGUCGCUAGAUCGCGAUGGGACAAGGACAUCCCGGCCGGGCAAACCCUCCCCUAACCCGGACGACGCUGGGACAAUUGUGCACCCCCUCAUGGGUCUCUCACAGACUGGGAUGCCUCAAGCACUGCAAUGUAGUGCCUUAGACCGCUUUGCCACUCGGGAGGCCAUAGAAGAAACCAUUUCAAGUUUAAAUAUACAUGCCCCAGACCUACAGGAAGAAUGCUCAUAACGCCAACAACGGGAAACCUUUCCACCCCCACCACUCCCCUCCUUCUAUUUUAUUUAUCUGUGCUUUCCAAGACCAAAAUGAAAGCAGUCAGGAGCCAUGGUAACCAACCAGUAGGCAAGUAGAGUAUAGAGUCCUAUUCACCAGCUAGGCAGUGAGAGGGUUGGCUGCAAGCGUUGCUAUAAAUGUGAGUGUAGCUGGGGAGAGCACCUGUCCAAAUCCACAGCCACUUCACACCCAGAGGAUCAUUAAUGUCAUUUAACUGGCUUCCCUGUGUCUCUAGCUACUGCUACCCUAGCUGCUGUGUCUCUAGCAACUGCUACCCUAGCUGCUGUGACUCUAGCUACUGCUACCCUAGCUGCUGUGAUUCUAGCUACUGCUACCCUAGCUGCUGUGACUCUAGCUACUGCUACCCUAGCUGCUGUGUCUCUAGCUACUGCUACCCUAGCUGCUGUGUCUCUAGCAACUGCCACCCUAGCUGCUGUGACUCUAGCUACUGCUACCCUAGCUGCUGUGACUCUAGCUACUGCUACCCUAGCUGCUGUGACUCUAGCUACCACUACCCUAGCUAAUGCUACCCUAGCUGCUGUGACUCUAGCUACUGCUACUCUAGCUACUGCUACCCUAGCUACUGCUACCCAAGCUGCUGUGUCUCUAGGUACUGCUACCCUAGCUGCUUUGAUUCUAGCUACUGCUACCCAAGCUGCUGUGACUCUAGCUACCGCUACCCUAGCUGCUGUGACUCUAGCUACUGCUACCCUAGCUGCUGUGACUCUAGCUAAAGCUACCCUAGCUGCUGUGAUGUCCCAAAAUGGCACCAUAUUCCAUAUAUCGUGCUUUAAUGUGCGCUGGUCAAGUGGUGCACUUCAUGCUUCUCAAAAUACAUUCUACUGUGCUCCGAGCACUCAAAUUGGAGCACGGGAGGGUCGGGGUACGAGUCCAAAUCAAGGUAUGCGAAACAGAGCACGGAGGGCACUUCUCGAAUGCGUACUCCAUUUGUACAUAUUUUGAAGCAUGCAUCGAUGCAAACGGAUAAAAAUUGCACAAUUUCUUGAAAUCAAUGCCGGCCAUUUGAACUAAAGCGGGAGAAAAUACACUCCGACUUCACAAUGAAAUGUUGCCUAUUCACAUCUCAUAUGUUAAUAAAUCCAUGUUGUGUUAAUUUAGGCAUGUUUAUCUGCCUACAUACUGUAGACAGACAGUGUGGUGAAGAAGCCUAAGGAAGCUGAAUAAAUUUGGCUUUGCACCUUAAACCCUCACUAACUUUUACAGAUGCACAAUUGAGAGCAUCCUGUCGUAUCACCGUCUGGAAUGGCAACUGCACCGCCUACAACUGCAGGGCUCUCCAGAGGGUGGUGUGGUCUGCCAAAUGUAUCACUGGGGGCAAACUAUCUGCCUUCCAGGACACCUACAGUACCCGAUGUCACAGGAAGGCCAAAAAGAUCAUCAAGGACAACAACCACCCAAGCUACUGCCUGUUCACCCCGCUAUCAUCCAGAAGGUGAGGUCAGUACAGGGGCAUCAAAGCUGAGACCGAGAGACUGAAAAACAGCUUCAUCAGACUGUUAAAUAGCCACCGCUAGCACAUUAGAGGCUGCUCCCCUAUAUAGACAUGAAAUCACUGGCCACAUUAAUAAUGGGACACUAGUCACUUUAAUAAUGUUUACAUAUUUUGCAUUACUCAUCUCAUACAUAUAUACUGUAUUCUAUUAUAUUCUUCUGUAUCUUAGUCUAUGCCGCUCUGACAUUGCUCGUCCAAAUAUUUAUAUAUUCUUGAUUCCAUUCCUUUACUUUAGAUUUAGGGGUAUUGUGUAUAUUGUUGUGAAAUUGUUAGAUUCUACUUGUUCGAUAUUACUGCACUGUUGGAGCUAGAAACACAAGCAUUUCACUACACCCGCAAUAACAUCUGCUAAGCACGUGUAUGUGACCAAUUAAAUUGUAUUUGAUUUGAGAUAGCAAGCCCAUAAUAAGUCAAUAAGGCUAACUGGCUAGGUACUAGUACUCUUAGCUAGCUAUAUAGCCACAAAGAACUGUUAGCUAGCUACCCACAAAGAAUUUACAUCUAUCUUGCAUAAUAUACGUUUUAGGUCCUUUUUGCUUGUUUAGCUACCUGGUUAGCUACAUUAGUAUGGUUCACAUAUAUCUAGCUUAUAGUUAUGAAGUAAAAUGUUUGCUUUGUGUA